rnacentral:rRNA from 1 species
CAGUCGCCACGGUAAUACGGAGGAUCCAAGCGUUAUCCUGAAUCAUUGGGUUUAAAGGGUCCGUAGGCGGUCUUGUAAGUCAGUGGUGAAAGCCCAUCGCUCAACGGUGGAACGGCCAUUGAUACUGCAGGACUUGAAUUAUUGGGAAGUAACUAGAAUAUGUAGUGUAGCGGUGAAAUGCUUAGAGAUUACAUGGAAUACCAAUUGCGAAGGCAGGUUACUACCAAUUGAUUGACGCUGAUGGACGAAAGCGUGGGUAGCGAACAGGAUUAGAUACCCCCGUAGUCCCUGUCUCUUAUAC